UUCUAUAUAUAUAUUUUGAGAAACUAAAUUAAAUUAUACGCAGUAGUUAGCAUUCUUUGUUUUUCUUUCCUGAGAACGUCUUUUCCAUUCACAUAUACAAAGUUGACACGCAAAAGAAGAAGAAAAAUUUAGAAAUUACUCGUAUCCAAUUGAAUAUUUUUAUUUGAAUUUUUCUCGUGAUGAUCAUUGAUCAAACUAAGUUAACUAAUUAUCUAGUCAUAGUAAGUUAGUUAUUUGUUAAGUUACCAUACAACUUACUUUAAACAUGUAUUGAUAAUUAUAUUUAAGUAACUUGACAGUGAAAGAAAACUUUUACACUUUUGGUGUACAAAAUUUAAGUCUUUGAAUAUGUGUCAGUUACAUAUCUAAUCUAGUCCCAUUUUAUGUGAUGUUUUUAAAUGACGACGACGACAAGAAUAACAAAAAACUCGGUCAGGUUUCACAUAUAUGUAAUACUCCCUCCGUCCCAUUUUAUGUGAUGUUUUUAAAUGACGAUGACGACGACAAAAAUAACAAAAAACUCGGUGAGGUUUCACAUAUGAGUUUGGGAGAGUAGUGUAUAUGCAAUUAUUGUUGAAAAAAUAUAUAGAGACAUUUCCAGUAGACCCUCGGCUCCAUGUGAUACCUUUAAACGAGCCACGAUUUUUUCAUGUGUCUUUUGAUCUUAAUCAAUUUAAUUGCAUUUUUGUCC
rnacentral:lncRNA from 1 species